UCACCCCUCAAGCCCCUGGCUUGGUGUUGGACGGUUUGGUGGAGACCCCUCGUGGGCUUCUACCCGUCCCAAAGACAAUGACGGCGGCCUCGUUGGACCCCCGGUACACUGAGUUCUUCACGGGACACGUAUCGGAGACAUGGGUUUACGGGACACGGUCUGCCUCCCCUUAGGGAGAAUCUUUUCAA
rnacentral:misc_RNA from 1 species